rnacentral:rRNA from 1 species
UACGUAGGCAGCAAACGUUGUUCGGAAUUACUGGGCGUAAAGAGUGUGUAGGCGGCUUUGCAAGUUUGGUGUGAAAUCUCCCGGCUUAACUGGGAGGGUGCGCCGAAAACUGCAAGGCUCGAGUGCUGGAGAGGAGAGCGGAAUUCCUGGUGUAGCGUUGAAAUGCGUAGAUAUCAGGAGGAACACCGGUGGUGUAGACGGCUCUCUGGACAGUCACUGACGCUGAGACACGAAAGCGUGGGGAGCAAACAGG